ACAAGCAGCGGAGCGUGUGGUUUAAUUCGAUGCAACACGAAGAACCUCACCAGGGCUUGACAUGACAGAAGUAGGAAUCCGAAAGGACGACGACCUGUUAAGUCAGGAGCUGCCACAGGUGCUGCAUGGCUGUCGUCAGCUCGUGCUGUGAAGUGUUAGGUUAAGUCCUGUAACGAGCGCAACCCUCAUUGCCAGUUGAUUUCUCUGGCGAGACUGCCCCACACAAUGGGGAGGAAGGUGGGGAUGACGUCAAGUCAGCAUGGCCUUUAUGCCCUGGGCUACACACACGCUACAAUGGAUGGUACAAUGGGUAGCAAAAGAGCGAUCUGAAGCCAAUCCAAAAACCAUCCUCAGUUCGGAUUGCAGGCUGAAACCCGCCUGCAUGAAGUCGGAGUUGCUAGUAACCGCAUAUCAGCAUGGUGCGGUGAAUACGUUCUCGGGCCUU
rnacentral:rRNA from 1 species